rnacentral:lncRNA from 1 species
ACAGCAGAGCCAGCCUCGGCGUCCCUGGGAGGGUCAGCUGGCCAGGGCGCGACGCAGGCAUGCAGGCUGCUCAAAGCGCCCUUUGUCCCAGGGCCUGCCUGUGGCCAGCUGCUCCCAGCCGCCAGCCUAUGUGGAGGGCUCCUGGGCCCCGGGUGACAUGUGCUGGGCACAGCUGGAGCCCUCCAGCCACGCUGCCGCCGGCCCUGGGAGCACCCUCCCCCACCAGAGCAGCCCUGGCCUGGGGCAGGUGCCAUGCUCCCCACCCCACCCCCCAUCUGGCCAGGUGAGACACUGGGUGCUGGCACUCUGAGGAGGCAGCGAGGACGGCAGGUCAGUGCAGAGGACAGAGCCAGGACCUAGGAGAGACUCCCUGCCUGCCCAGCCCCCCUGUCCAGUGUCCCCCUGCCUGCCCCGGGGCCCUCCUGUCCAGUGUCCCCCUGCCUGCCCCGGGCCCUCCUGUCCAGUGUCCCCCUGCCUGUCCUGGCCCCUCGUGUCCAGUGUCCCCCUGCCUGCCCCGGGGCCCUCCUGUCCAGUGUCCCCCUGCCUGUCCUGGCCCCUCGUGUCCAGUGUCCCCCUGCCUGCCCCGGGCCCUCCUGUCCAGUGUCCCCCUGCCUGCCCCGGGCCCUCCUGUCCAGUGUCCCCCUGCCUGCCCCGGCCCCUCCUGUCCAGUGUCCCCCUGCCUGCCCUGGCCCCUCCUGCCCAGUGUCCCCCUGCCUGCCCAGCCCUCUCUUGUCCAGUGCCUCCUGGUCUGUGAGCACAGCCAGGAGGCUGGGCCGGAGCCUGCCCACAUGGUAGUGGAACCUGCUGUGGUUCCGUGCUCCCUUGGGCCCCACCGAAAGCGCAUCCACGGCCUGCAGGCUCGGCCCUCCACACCUGGGUGCCCAAGGUGUCCUGAAACGGGCCAGCUUCCUUGGAAGGCAGGGCAUUCAGACCCUCUGCCCCAGGGAGUCCUAGCAGGAGAAGACGAGGCCUCUGAGAAGCCGACCACUGGCUAGCUGGCCAUCUGAGUGCCAAGAGCCCCGGGACAGUGGCCUUCCCCAGGAGGGGGUUCUGGAUGCCACCAGCCAUGCAUCAGCGGUAGCUCUGUGACCCCACCACGAGGGCAGUACAGAUCUGGGGCAACCCUGAGCAGCACAGAGACACUUUCCCCCGAGAACUAGCCCCACCUGCCAGCUGUCCAGGCGGCCAUUCUCCACACUGAGCAGGAGAGGCCACAAGGUUUGCUUGGUCACCAUGGGGACAGGCGUUCCCACCCACCCAGUAGCCGGGCCUUUGAGUGUGUGACAGCUGUCCUCUGGUCCUCUCCCAGGCCCCCUCCAGCAGGUGGCAUGAGGCUCAUGUCCACGGUGGCUCUCGUGGAGCUCACAAGGCCAAGGUCACAGACACGGCCUGUAGGGCUAGGUGGCCCCUGCCCUGUGUUCCACACCCAGGCAGCUCUGGGUGCUGGGUCCAGGUCUCCCUGCCCCUCCCUCUGGCCUAUGGGAGCCACGUCCAAAGACCUCACUACACUCUCCAGGCCUAGUGGCCAUCCCAGCCAGAAGGCAGCCUUGCAGAAUGACGGAAGUGCAGUGUGCUGCCCAAGGGCGCCCCUUGAGCAAACCCCACCUGCAGGCCGGGGCUUGGGUGGUCCCUUCUGCCAGCUCAGGAGCUCGGCUCCAGGCCUCCUCCUCAUCUGUCAUUUCCAGUGCCUGUCACUCACGCACCACAGAUGGGUCAGAGCAGGAGGCGGCCGGGGUGGCCAGCCCUGUGUGUGCAUAGUGGGGGGGCAUCUCUGGGCAGAGAGGGCCAAGACAAGACUCAGGCCACACCCGUGGGCCCAGCAUAUUCCUGGACCCAUUAUCAGGGCCAAAUGCUUCCCAGGAUCGCAGGCUUCUGGGCCCAGCCUCCUGAAUAAAGGCUGCCCACCCAGGUGGGGAGAAGGCCCCUCGGUGACUUUAACUCCACAUGUGCUGCCGGUGCCUCGUGGAGGCCGACUAGAGUUACAUGCAUUUCAGGUGGUUUAACGAGGUGCCUCCAGCCCUGGGACCCUGCUCGCUGUGAGCUAGCGAGGUGGGGGUGCCCACGCACUGCCCGUACCUUCCUCCCGGCCUGGGUGUUCUCGAGGUCAGGAGGCAGACAGGGCUUAGCAGCCAGCGACACCUAAUGGGGUGGAGGAGGCAGACGGUGCUGAGAAGAGGCCCAUAGGCCAGCCCGCUGACCCCGCCCCAAAGUGGGCCCCCAGAGAUCCCAAACAAGCAACCGCAGAGGGUUGCCCGGCCCAGCACACAAACCAAGCCAUGGCCUCAGAGGGCAGGCCCCAGCAGGCUCCACGAGGGGGCACACAGGCACAGGCGCACACGCCUCACUACGGCCGUAUGAGGGGUGAAGGGCACCCUCUGCGGAGUUGCCCACGUCACUAAGCCCAGCAGGCACUGUGGGUGAUGGCAGGGGAUUGGCAUCAGCGCUGGAUGGGGCAGAGACCAAGGGCCUUCCGCGCUGCAUGGUUUAGGGCGCAGCCACCUCGCCACGUCCCCCACGUCACCUUUCUCCUCGAUGUCCAGCACAGCGUUGCUCAACAGCAGAAUAGUCAGCUCCCCCCCCCAUAUUCUAACAAUGUAUUUAUGAUCACAUUGGGUUUUGAUCAGAGACUCUGUCCAGUUAAAUCUCCCUAUUUUGAGAUGUAUUAAGGUUCUUUAAACAAUUUAACAAAUUGUUUCAAAAAUGUCCUGUGGGCAUAAGGAAACAAAAUGUCUCCAUUAUUGGGAUCCAGAAAUAGAGAUCUGGUCUGAAACAGUCCUGGCACUCUCUGCCACUCCUCCCACGGACUCUGGGCUUUGUGACCAGGGGAAGGCAGGAAGGAUGCACAGAGGAUGUGGCAGUCUCCUGGCACUUCCACCCCCUGGAAGGCUCGCUUCUGAGACCAGCUCUGAGCAAUGCAGUUUCAGAACACUCCUGGGAGAGGGGCCUCGUGCCAGCCCUGCUGGGCUCCUGGGUGCCCUGCUGGGCUCCUAGCUGCCGCCAUGCAGAGCAAGGACAGGUCUGAGCCCAGCUCAGGCUGCAGGCCAGUGACCUGAGCCCUGGUGGCUGUUUGAAGCGGGGUAAAGUAGUGGACAUCUGCUCCACAGCUAGAUCAUAGGAACAGGUUUUUCAGUUUACUGUUAGAGUAGGGAACUGCUCAGGAUCACAACAAUUGAGUCUCUGUCCUUGCUUUGUGUCUGCUAGAAUUGUUCUGCAAGAGGUGCAUAAACCUUCCAUGUUUAACCUGCUCUUCCCUGCACACUGGUUUAGCUUUACACAGUUUACGCUGUUAGUUGCCUUAACAUUUAUAUUUAGGCCUCCCCCCAUAAGUGGUGCCAUCCGUCAUCCACACUCAUCAUAUCUGGACUUCACUGCUGACAAUAAUGUCCUCC